GCCGGUGUAGCUCAGCUGGCUAGAGCAGCUGAUUUGUAAUCAGCAGGUCGUGGGUUCGAGUCCCUCCAUCGGCUC
rnacentral:tRNA from 7 species